CUAACCUAUUAUAUGUGUUUUGUGUCUAUCUUACAUAUUCUAAUGUUUCUGCAAUAAAUCGAAACACGAUCUGAUCGAAGAACUGAUUUCAGUUUCAAUUGUUUUUUGUUUGAUCGAUUAUGAGUUACUUUUGAUGACAUAUUUCUAAUCUUGUUUUUCUGUGUGAUUUAUUAGGUUUUUUCGAAGGAGAACGAGUAGAGGAGAAACCCUAAAUUUAUCAGCAAGAAGAGAAGAAAUCCUAGCCUCUAUUUUGGAACCAAAUUGAGUUCUUCUUCGGUUUUCUUGGUGAAGUCAAUCUUUCAACUCAUAAGUUUUAAGGAUCAACAAACUUUAAAAUGGAGGAAAACUAUGGAGCUAAGGUGGGGGGCAUGUGUGGACUGCAGAACAUUGGGAGAACGAAAGACAAAGAAUGACGUAACUCGGUAAUGGAAGGAUCUAUCUUUGCUUCUAUUCCAACAACAUUAUUUUGGAUGGCUUAUAUUGCUUGUUCGUUGCUUACAUGGAGUUGAUGGGGUCAGUUAUCUCUCAUUACAAGGAAUCAGUAACACCUCCAAGGAAUCAACCUGUCUAAUUUUAGGCCAUUUGGAAGGCUUUGGUAGGACUACUUUUAAUUCUUUACCAAUCAGGCUCCCAAAAGAGGGGUGAAGGCACCAGUGGCGGCAAAGAAAAAGACCAUAAGUUUUAGUUUCUUGUGAACAUGUUCACCAAAGAAGCUAUUUUACUAAAUAUGUAGUUUUCCCUGCUGAAGAUGGAAUUUUCAUCUUGCAGGAUAAGGUUGUGAACCCUUUAUUUGAAAAGCGUCCAAAACAGUUUGGUAUUGGUGGUGCAUUGCCUCCAAAAAGGAUUUGCAUAGGUUCGUGAAAUGGCCAAAAGUUUUCCGCAUUCAACGCCAAAGGAGGAUUUUAAGCAACGUUCGAAGGUUCCACCUGCUUUGAACCACUUCACAAAGACCUUAGAUAAAAACCUUGGAAAACGACAAAGUUGGAGGACGAUUUAUAUAGUUUGGUUACAUAUUACUUGGAAUGCUUGUUGGACCUGCAACUGCUGGAAGAGGAGAAUCAUAUUUGUUGAACAAAAGAGAAGGUCAAUUCAUUACCUGGAAUAUCGCCUAUUUUACUACCGAUCAUCUAAUUUACUGCUGGGAUCGGACGAUGGUGGAUGCUUGCCUUACAGAAGGUGCUCACUACCAGGACCUUGUUCAGGUGCAUAACUCAUAAGUGUUGCAGAUUUGAAAGACAAUCGGCACGCAAGACAAGGCAAAGACUGUUAUCUCAUGCGUGUUUGAUGCCAAUGCUAGAAUUACUUGAAAUGAUAAAUUUUUCUAUGCUCGUUUAAAUGCUCACAAAGUGUUGGCUCUGAAUUGUGCUUGGUUAAAUAAAAUAAUUUUUUGGUUGCAAGUAUCAUAAUGAAUAGACCUUUGUGCUUGUAUUUCCACAAUGUAUGUAUGAGUGUUGAAAUGUGUGUAGCAGCCUGUGUUUCAGGAUAAAUUGUGUCGCAGGCCUGUAAACUGGAAGCCCAGGUCCGUUAUAAUGGAUCUGGACUAUCCAUUUUUUUAA